ACAGGGAGCUUGCUCCUGGGUGACGAGCGGCGGACGGGUGAGUAAUGUCUGGGAAACUGCCCGAUGGAGGGGGAUAACUACUGGAAACGGUAGCUAAUACCGCAUAACGUCUUCGGACCAAAGUGGGGGACCUUCGGGCCUCACACCAUCGGAUGUGCCCAGAUGGGAUUAGCUAGUAGGUGAGGUAAUGGCUCACCUAGGCGACGAUCCCUAGCUGGUCUGAGAGGAUGACCAGCCACACUGGAACUGAGACACGGUCCAGACUCCUACGGGAGGCAGCAGUGGGGAAUAUUGCACAAUGGGCGCAAGCCUGAUGCAGCCAUGCCGCGUGUGUGAAGAAGGCCUUCGGGUUGUAAAGCACUUUCAGCGAGGAGGAAGGGUUCAGUGUUAAUAGCACUGAUCAUUGACGUUACUCGCAGAAGAAGCACCGGCUAACUCCGUGCCAGCAGCCGCGGUAAUACGGAGGGUGCAAGCGUUAAUCGGAAUUACUGGGCGUAAAGCGCACGCAGGCGGUUUGUUAAGUCAGAUGUGAAAUCCCCGAGCUUAACUUGGGAACUGCAUUUGAAACUGGCAAGCUAGAGUCUUGUAGAGGGGGGUAGAAUUCCAGGUGUAGCGGUGAAAUGCGUAGAGAUCUGGAGGAAUACCGGUGGCGAAGGCGGCCCCCUGGACAAAGACUGACGCUCAGGUGCGAAAGCGUGGGG
rnacentral:rRNA from 1 species